rnacentral:rRNA from 1 species
GACGAACGCUGGCGGCGUGCUUAACACAUGCAAGUCGAACGAAGUGGCGAACGGGUGAGUAACGCGUAAUCAACCUGCCCUUCAGAGGGGGACAACAGUUGGAAACGACUGCUAAUACCGCAUACUGAAGGAGUGGUUUGCGUCUGAUUAGCUAGUUGGAGGGGUAACGGCCCACCAAGGCUAUGUUCAGUAGCAGGUUUGAUAGGAUGAACGGCCAAAUUGGGACUGAGAAACGGCCCAGACGCUUACGGGAGUCAGCAGGGGGGAAUCUUCCGAAAUGGACGAAAGUCUGACGGAGCAACGCCGCGGGAGUGAUGACGGCCUUCGGGUUGUAAAGCUCUGUUAAGCGGGACGCGGUACCGGAAUAGAAAGCAACGGCUAACUACGUGCCAGCAGCCGCGGUAAUUC